UACGUAGGGUGCGAGCGUUGUCCGGAAUUACUGGGCGUAAAGAGCUCGUAGGUGGUUUGUCGCGUUGUCCGUGAAAACUCACAGCUUAACUGUGGGCGUGCGGGCGAUACGGGCAGACUGGAGUACUGCAGGGGAGACUGGAAUUCCUGGUGUAGCGGUGGAAUGCGCAGAUAUCAGGAGGAACACCGGUGGCGAAGGCGGGUCUCUGGGCAGUAACUGACGCUGAGGAGCGAAAGCCAGGGGAGCAAACGGG
rnacentral:rRNA from 1 species